AUUUAAGGCAUAUUAGCAAUUUAGACUAAUAUAUUGUACUUUCGCAAUUAUAGCUUGGGACUUUAGCAUUUCUCCGAUUACAGUUAAGCAAUUUACAUAUCAUGGUUCGACGUUUAUUUCAAAUUGAGCUAUGGAGGUGAACCUAUUCUGUUACCAGAAGAUUUUUGGUAUAUCAAACUGAGCUGGGAGCAACAUUUCCAUCAGCAGAUAGAUUGAAAGAACACACAAAAAGCUUGAGGUAACCAUCUUCAAACAGUGAGAAGGGGGGCCAGAUCAGGUUAUAUGGUAGUAGAUAUUAGGCAUUUCAAAUUUCAACCCAUUAAGAAGGGAAGGAAAUGCUAUGUGCAGUCUGCGUGGUAGUACAUAUUGCCUAGUUCAUUCAGUUUUUGCCAAGCCUGAUGCGUGCAGCCUGAACGGUUAGAUAUCUGUUUAUACAGUUGUUUAAGAACAACAAUCGACCUGCAUCUAUUUUGUGAUUUUUGCUGAAACCAAUGUGUGCUAUAUAUGAGGCAAUAAUGGAUCUAUUUGUGAAAUCCUGAUUCAAAUUGUGAAUUAGAUCAUCAGAUUAUAGAGAAAAUAGUGGAUUUGUGAUACAUAUGUACCAUGAGUAAC